rnacentral:rRNA from 1 species
UACGGAGGGUGCAAGCGUUAUCCGGAUUUACUGGGUUUAAAGGGUGCGUAGGCGGGUUGUUAAGUCAGUGGUGAAAGAUUUGAGCUCAACUCAAAAACUGCCAUUGAUACUGACAUCUUGAAUAUAGUUGAGGUGGGCGGAAUGUGUCAUGUAGCGGUGAAAUGCUUAGAUAUGACACAGAACACCGAUUGCGAAGGCAGCUUGCUAAACUAUUAUUGACGCUGAGGCACGAAAGCGUGGGGAGCGAACAGG